CUUUCUUUGAUUUUAAGCUCCUUAAUGGAGAGAACUAUGACUCAUAAAUGUUUAAGGUAGCUACCAAUCAUAAUUGGGGAGGGGGAUGGUUAUGUAAAAAAUUUUUAAAGAUGGAAUGCUUCACUAAUUUGUGUAUCAUCCCUGAGCAGGGGCCAAGGGCAUGGUUAUUUUUGACACCUCACUUUAGUGGUCAGGAUCUGAAGUCAAAGCUGCUUUAGUUGUAUGUGGGAUCCACGUAAGUUUGCUACGCGCCUUCUUGGUUGAUGUCAGAUGUGAAAGGGAGAAUCCAAGGGAGAUCACUUGUGUCACAAGAUUGCAAAGACAAGGAAGGAAGGAACCUCAGGAUUCACACCUUACUGAGAAAGAAUAUUCUGGAGUCAGCCUAGAUGCCAGUGCUGUAUUCUUAUGAUGUCCAGUUUCGACCUCAUGAAAUCAAAAAACGUGAAAUUCUGCAAGCAAGAAUGACAGCCGUGAGAUAUGCUUGUUUUGUUCAUCACUGAAUGAGGACAUUCAUCCCUGAAUACCUACUGUGUCUCCUGGAACAUAGCAGAUACUCAACCAGUAUGUGGAAUGAAUGAAAUUAAUUCAAGCCACUGAACGUAUUAUUGUAAACCAGACUAUGAGAAGAAAAGAAUAAGGACGUUGGAAUCUUGAGAAGGUAGCUAUUUCUGCUAGACCUCCAUUUAGGCAGAUGAAGUACCAAACUCAUCCUCCUUAAUAAGUUGGCAGUAACUGCUUAGGAGCAUUGAACAUUUUUCAAUAGCUGAUCUAGACAGCUGUUAAUGUCACAUCUUCCAACCACUUGUCUGGAGUUUCAUGAAAUUCACAGAUGAUCCCCCUGCUAUAACUUUGGUGCCAUGUUCACUCAUUUAACCCAGCAAUCACAAAAUUUCAGGCAGAUUCAAAGCAGUCCCUCCUCAGAAAAAAUAUUGGUUCUCUGACCUAACCUACCGAAAAUCAUGUGGGCUCGUAACUAAAUCACACCAAACUUGUAAAUUCUGGUCUUGGCAGAGAUACUGUGAGAGUAAGUAUGUUGAUUCAUGAAGCAGUUAAAUUCCAAUGAGCAAUUCCAGAUCUGAUAAUUAAAUUCUUAUUAUAACCUUGGGAACAUUUUAAAUUAAGUUCCCUCACCUGAAGUGGCAACGAAUCAUUGCUAUGUUCAAAGUCCUGGUCAAAUAUAACAGCGGCCAUUACACAAUCAAAAUCCUUAUAAUAUUUAACGUAUUAAAAAAAAUUUCCUCUGAAGUAAAGCCAUGAACUAUGAAGGGAGAAAAUCUAAGCAGUAAGCUUUCAACAUAAAGGCAAUAGUAUCUGAUGCUCUAUCUGAGGGAAUGAGACAUAUCAGACAACUUUAUAGAGACAAAUUUGUUAAACCUGCCAAAGAUGGCAAAACUUCAGUUUCCUGAUUCUCUGUAAAAUUCCUCACUUGUAGAGUCAACUUUCACUUGGAGAAUUUCAACUGCAGUCUACAGUUAAGCUCAUCCACUGUUGGCCCCACUACCAUAGACAAGAAGAUGUAAAAUCUAAGUAAGGAUCUGUACCAAUAAUUUAAUUAAAAUUCCUCAUUUUAUGGGUCAUACCCUAAUUCAUAAUUUUUUUACUCAUGCGGUAACUAAUUUCCUCUUGGGUUGCUUAAAAUUAUGAGGGCCAAGUGUAAAUUACACUGAAAAUUACUUAAACU